rnacentral:tRNA from 1 species
UUAAUUGAAACCAAAAGAGAGGUAUAUCACUGUUAAUGAUAAAAAUGAGAUGCAAAUCUCCAAUUAAA